rnacentral:rRNA from 1 species
UACAGGGGGUGCAAACGUUGCUCGGAAUCAUUGGGCGUAAAGCGCACGUAGGCGGUUCGUUAUGUCGGAUGUGAAAGCCCUUGGCUUAACCGAGGAAGUGCAUCCGAAACUGGCGAGCUAGAGUACGAAAGAGGAUCGCGGAAUUCCCGGUGUAGAGGUGAAAUUCGUAGAUAUCGGGGAGGAACACCGGUGGCGAAGGCGGCGAUCUGGGUCGAUACUGAACGCUGAGGUGCGAAAGCUAGGGGAGCAAACAGGG